GAGUGUUUAAAGCAGGCUAAAGCUUGAAUAGAUUAGCAUGGAAUAACGAAAUAGGACGUUUGAUCUUAUUUUGUUGGUUUCUAAGAUCGACGUAAUGAUUAAUAGGGAUAUUGGGGGCAUUAGUAUUCAAUUGUCAGAGGUGAAAUUCUUGGAUUGAUUGAAGACUAACUACUGCGAAAGCAUUUGCCAAGGAUGUUUUCAUUAAUCAGUGAACGAAAGUUGGGGGAUCGAAGACGAUCAGAUACCGUCGUAGUCUUAACCAUAAACUAUGCCGACUAGGGAUCGGACGGUGUUAGUAUUUUGACCCGUUCGGCGCCUUACGGGAAAC
rnacentral:rRNA from 2 species